rnacentral:rRNA from 1 species
GACGAACGCUGGCGGCGUGCCUAAUACAUGCAAGUCGAGCGGAGCGGCGGACGGGUGAGUAAUGCCUAGGAAUCUGCCUGGCAGUGGGGGAUAACGUCCGGCAACGGGCGCUAAUACCGCAUACUAUCAGAUGAGCCUAGGCGGGAUUAGCUAGGUGGUGGGGUAAAGGCUUACCAAGGCGACGAUCCGUAACUGGUCUGAGAGGAUGAUCAGUCACACUGGAACUGAGACACGGUCCAGAUUCCUACGGGAGGCAGCAGUGGGGAAUAUUGGACAAUGGGCGAAAGCCUGAUCCAGCCAUGCCGCGUGUGUGAAGAAGGCCUUAGGAUUGUAAAGCACUUUAAGUCGGGAGGCGUUACCGACAGAAUAAGCACCGGCUAACUUCGUGCCAGCAGCCGCGGUAAUAC